rnacentral:rRNA from 1 species
CUAAGUUUCAACAACGGAUCUCUUGGCUCUCGCAUCGAUGAAGAACGCAGCGAAAUGCGAUAAGUAAUGUGAAUUGCAGAAUUCAGUGAAUCAUCGAAUCUUUGAACGCACCUUGCGCUCCUUGGUAUUCCUUGGAGCAUGCCUGUUUGAGUAUCAUGAAAUUCUCAAAGUAAAUCUUUUGUUAAUUCAACU